UUUCCACGGAUUCCGUGACGCAGCUAACGCAUUAAGUUCCCCGCCUGGGGAGUACGGCCGCAAGGCUAAAACUCAAAGGAAUUGACGGGGACCCGCACAAGCGGCGGAGCAUGCGGAUUAAUUCGAUGCAACGCGAAGAACCUUACCAAGGCUUGACAUACACGAGAACGGGCCAGAAAUGGUCAACUCUUUGGACACUCGUGAACAGGUGGUGCAUGGUUGUCGUCAGCUCGUGUCGUGAGAUGUUGGGUUAAGUCCCGCAACGAGCGCAACCCUCGUUCUAUGUUGCCAGCACGUAAUGGUGGGAACUCAUGGGAUACUGCCGGGGUCAACUCGGAGGAAGGUGGGGAUGACGUCAAAUCAUCAUGCCCCUUAUGUCUUGGGCUUCACGCAUGCUACAAUGGCCGGUACAAUGGGCUGCGAUACCGUAAGGUGGAGCGAAUCCCAAAAAGCCGGUCCCAGUUCGGAUUGAGGUCUGCAACUCGACCUCAUGAAGUCGGAGUCGCUAGUAAUCGCAGAUCAGCAACGCUGCGGUGAAUACGUUCCCGGGUCUUGUACACACCGCCCGUCAAGUCAUGAAAGUCGGUAACACCUGAAGCCGGUGGCCUAACCCCUUGUGGGAGGGAGCUGUCGAAGGUGGGAUCGGUAAUUAGGACU
rnacentral:rRNA from 1 species